UUAUUAUUACUACUACUCAUGGCAAGGCUCUAUGAACGAACGAGUGGGCAUGACGACUUACCUAGGUACUCAUGAUCUCUCCCCCAAGUUUCAACGAAGCUCAGUACUGCUGGUCGGGAUCUGAGUACGACUGCUGGGGGUAGUAGGUACCAUGGUUCCAAUCAUAAUUAAUGGAUGAUAACAUCCAUCAACUCUCCUGCGUGAGGCUGGUGUUGUGCUCAAGGUUGUGACCCAUCUCUUGCUGGCGUAACUCCAAGGCAUUCAUCCGAGUAGUGAGGUCUGACAGUCCCCGUGUGAGCGGGUUGUCGAACUUGAAGAGAACCGACGCUGACGGACCAACCUGUGGCCCUGAUGGACUGACCUGUGGACCAUGAGAAGUCUGCAAACCUGGUGGGUAGUAGAAUCCCUGAUCGUGACCGUACCCCAUGCAGCCCUCAGCCUGAUACGAACUCUGGCCACCCUGGGCGUAGUACCCAUAUGCCUCCUCGAAGCUCAUGUGUUCUGUGGCUGGGUUUGGCUGUGUAGAGGUGUUCGGUGAAGUUUUGGCCUGGCGAGAAGUUCUUGCCUGGCGGGAGGUGCCUGCCUGAUGGGAAGUUCCUGCUUGCCUUGAUGUGCCUGCAUCGGCCAACUAGGCAUCAUGCCAAGUCCUGCCUCGUGUCAUGGGGCUAGCCGUGCUGUGACGUGCGGGUUCUUUCUUUUCCAUCUGGAGGGUCAGGAAUUUCAAGGAAUAGAGAGAGAGCUUCGGGCAAGGGAGCUCGAACUCUUUGUCAUACUCCGAAUAGCAUAUAAAGACAGAGUUCCCGGGACCCUCACGCAUCAUGUGAGCAUGAAUGAAGUGGUCCAGACCGACAAUGGUUCGGUACUCCUCCGUCAAGGACAGAUAGGUAACCUGAGCAUUCUCUAGAACACCGACAUAUCGUGCAAUGUGCGUAACCAGAGAGGUCAUGUUGAUGGGAGACUUGCUCAUGAUCAUUUUCUGCCAGUGUGACACCAUGCCCAUGACGGAUGAGUAGCGAAUUUUCUUUGUCAUGGCAUAAAGGCACAUGAGCUCUGAGGAGCUGCAAAUUAAGCCUGAGGUCUGCUCGGGAGAACACUACCAUGGCGAGGUAUUUUGCAAGAAUUCUCAGAGUUGGAUUAUGAAUGGAUACAAUGUUGUUCUUACUGCUAAUAGUUUCAUCUGAUAUUGCACUCCACCAAGUACUACGGUCAUAAUCAUGUUCAUUUGCUAGCACAGAGGGGUCUAGGAUGCAUUUCUUG